GGAGCUUCACCAGGUCCAUGUCAAACAAGCUCAAGACACGGGUACAAGCUGUUGUGGAGUUAAAAGAGAAUGUGUCUUCUCAAAAAAUCUGUCCCACUUUCAUGUCAUAUUUGGUUAUCUGCCUGAUCUUGCCCACGAUGUUUUUGAGGGUAUAAUCCCAGUAGAGUUGGCACAUUGCUUGACAGUGCUUGUAUCAAAGAAGUUUUUCACGUUAGCUGACUUAAACAAUGCGAUUCUGAAGUCCCCCUAUCAAUGGGCAGAUAAGACAAGCAGGCCUCAUGUAGUGUCACAAACUUUCUCUAGCACAAAAACGGUUGGAGGAAAUGCACACAAAAACUGGAGCUUGCUCCGGUUCUUGCCUUUUUUAGUUGGAUCACUUGUGCCUGAGGAUGAGCCUGCGUGGCUUGUUCUCAUGGAUCUGAAGGAUAUCACAGAACUUGUUGUCUCCCCUGUGCAUAGCAAUGACUCACUGGCUUUUUUGGAAAGCAAAAUCAUAGAGCAUAGACAGAGAUAUCAGGCACUGUUCCCUGACGUCAAGCUACUACCCAAACACCAUUAUUUGGAUCAUUAUCCCCAGAUGAUUAGGUUUUUUGGUCCACUUGUUGAGCAUUGGACAAUGCGUUUUGAGGCUAAGCAUAGUUUUUUUAAGCAGGUCAUCAGACACACAAGCUGCUUCAAAAAUGUACCUCUCUCAUUAGCCUUAAAGCAUCAGAUGAUGAUUGCUUACCAUCUGAGUUCCCCAUCUCUUGGCAAGUCUGAACUAGAGGUCUCAACUGUAACAACAUUUCCAGUCGAUUUGCUUAAAGAAGAGAUAGCUCAAGUCAUUAGGCAUAGAUUCCCUGACAAAGUAGAGGUUGACCUUGCACAGUGUGUGACAAUAAAGGGCAUAACCUACAGGAAGGGAAUGGUACUGGCCCACAAGGCAGUAGGUGGAUUGCCAGGAUUCUGUGAAAUAAACCACAUCUGCAUUGUAAAACACAGCAUAUUCUACAUUGUCAGAGAGCUUGGUGGCUGGUACAGAGAGCAUUACAGAGCUUUUGAGCUCAACCCAGUAUCCGCAAGAAUGUUCACGCUUCUUUCACUCAGUGAACUCCUCGAUACUUAUCUGCUGGUUGACUACAAGAUUGGAUCAGUCCGCAUGGUGACUUUAAAAAGGCAUAUAGAAAUACAAGAGUAACUGCUUAAAAUGGGAACUCCAAUGAUCCUAAAGAUUGUCUUGACGGAUGGAACAUGUCAAAGGCUCACUCUCUCCAAUGCACUUCCUGAAUCAAUUAAGGAUCUCAUUGGUGAAGUCAAGACACAGUGUGGUCUUCAGGGCAAUAUCAGACUUCAGUUUAUGGACUCCUUGUUUGGGAACGAGUUCCUUAACCUUACCUCACUUUCAGAAGUAGCAGACAAAGGGACUCUCAAAGUCAUCGACAUGUCAAUGCCCACUACUAUGCUACAUGGGGAUUAUAUUGUUCUUGAUCUUGUCCAAGACUCCGAAGUCCCCAGUGCUUCCUCUGUUAACCACUCCCUUCUGUCUGAUGGAUCUGUGGACAUAGAUGUGUUGUCAUCAAAUGAGUCAACAAGCUCACGGUCUUCUUGGCCUCCUGUCUUUUAUGUGCCCAAGUUUCCCUACGAUGCAGAAUUAAAACUUGAGAAGGCAAGUAUGGCAUACAAUCAGAAUGGAACUGUACUUAUUCCAGAUCUGAAGUUGAAGUCAACCAUCCUUGAUGGUUUGGUGCAGGAAAUUGUCCAGUACAAAGUGUAUGUCAGUGAUAAAGAAAUGGAUCGAGUUACUCAGAGUCUGAUCAAGAAGCAUCCCUGUCUAACUGAGAGAGGCUCCACCACUGGAUGUGGAGGAUGGAAGACCAGCUUGAAAUAUAAACUUGCCAACUAUCGAACCCAGCUACGAAAACUGGGGUGCCCAGAGGUGACUUAACUUCUUUAAAGAACAAACCUGUUGGAAGAUGCAGCGCAGCCUUUGGUGUCAAAAAAGCAAAGAGGGCAGAAGUAAACUUUUGCCCAAAAUACCCAUCAGAACAAACUGAGGAAAGUCUAGAGGUGAUGCGGAACGCUUUACUCUUGGACUUAAAGAAGAGGAACAACAGAGAGUUGGUGAAACUAAAGAUGGAAAAAACAUUUGCAUACAGAAGACAUGAAAUUGUUCGUGAUGCACCAAUGGUGGAGGCUUUAAUGGCAAGAUGACCUGCUCUAUUUGACAUCCGUGAGAUCAACGCUGAGUUUAAGAGAAUUACCACCAUCCCACUUCAGUCAAAGUUCUUAUCUCAGCUGGACCUCCAUUUUAACAACCUGAUUAAGCUGUUCAAAAGAAGAGGAGGACAGCUUGGACAAAAGUUGAAACAAAUUGUGGCACAAAAGGAUGAUUGUGAAGAUGUUGAUACAGGACGAGUGUGUGUCAUUAAGAGAGUGUCCAUCUACAUGGGAGAAGAUUCCGACCACCUCAUCCGAGAGUAUGUGGGUAUGGAUGAAGCUGCCAUCAAUGAGGCCAUUGAAGACACCACUGUUGGAACUUAUCUUAUCAAGGAAGAAGCUUCAGCACAUGCACAAGAGGUUGGAGUUGUUCUUGAAGGCAUCAGGGUGAUGACUAACUUGGAUAAUAUAGCAUUUGCUGUGGUAAUGCUAUUUGGACUAAUAUAUGUGCUGAAUCUUGCAUAUUCUGCUGACCUUUGCUACACUUUUGAGGUGUUCCAGAAGAUUUUUAUGGAACUGGAUGGAGGUAAACUCUCCAACAAGGCGCUAGCUCUCAAAAACCGCCUCUUUGAAUGAGGCGUCAAAGAUCUUGAUUUUUUUCAUUUUCUAUCCAGUUAUGUUGUGAUGCUCACGGUUUCUUUUCUUUUUUUCUAUCUCUUUUCCUCAUGACUCCAUUGCUGGAUAAAAGUAUUUUCGUUUUUGUGUUCCAAUGUUUAGAAGAAAUGUUUGAGGGAUUGUAGAGAUAUGUUCUGGGUCAACCUUGAAGUAGCAGUAAGAAACCUUUUAUUAAAAAGAUGUUUUUUACAUAUUGUUUAAAAUGUCACUAAGUCAUUACAGUAUAACAUGAGACAGAUAAAUUGAAAAAAAAAAUCAUUUCUGUCUUAUACUGAUGGCAUAGGGACCGUUUUUGCAAAUAUGUAAAAAACAUUUAUUAUAAAAUUUGCAUACUGCUGCUUUCAUGUCAUGUUAUGUUAAGAAGAUUCAUGUAGUUGUUCAACAAUGUCAUCUAAGUGUAAAAUGUUGCUAUUAUUCUAAAUGGCUAAUUACAAAAGGUGUAUUAGGAUGUGAAAUCCUUAGCUGCUUGUGUUUUUCUUAAUUUUAGCUGAAAUGUUUUUAAACGGUACACACAUUCCAUGCGUUUCUCUUCAAAUUCAGUGUAAUGGGAAUUUUAGAAAUAUUUCAUACAAAAACAAGUUAUGCAUCUUUAAACCUGUUUAUUAAUAGAAGUUUGUUUCUAUUUUCAGGUAAGUCCUAAUUUAGUAUUAUUCCUUUUCAUUUUAAAAAUGUUAAAGGCAAAACUUUUGUAAAAGAUGGUAUCAUUUAUAGGCACUGUAGCUUUUAUUUUUUGCUAAGGCCAUUGUUCUUGUAAAAUGUUUACAAAUGUCUAAUAUUUAAAAUUGUUUUUGAGUUGUAUUUGCAUACAAGACUAAAAUCCCCAAAAGGUGUAAGAUGUUUUAUGGCUGUGAUUUUGGCUUGUUCAUGGCAGGUCUCUACUUUUGCUGAAGUUUUAAUAAAAGUGAA